rnacentral:rRNA from 1 species
AUGCCCUUAUCCUCCUCUUCCCGCCGUCGCCGAGGCGGGCGCGGCGGACGACGCGGCCGCAAUGCGCCGACGGCGCCGGCGGCCGCGGAUGAGACGGAGACGAGGAACUGGGCGGAGCUGCCGCUGGACGCGAUCUCGGCCAUCCUCCACAAGCUCGACCACGUCGACAUCCUGAUGGGGGCGGGCCAGUUGUGCCGCUCCUGGCGCGGCGCCGCUCGCGACGAGCCCGAGCUGUGGCGCCGCAUCAACAUGCUAGGCCACGCCGACCUCGAGCACGAGCUCAACUUCCCCGGGAUGGCGCAGGCCGCCGUCCGCCGCAGCGCGGGGAGGUGCGAGGCGUUCUGGUGCGAGUACGCCGCCGACCACGACUUCCUCCUCUACCUCGCCGACCAGGCACCAUCUCUUAAGAGCCUUCGCCUCAUUUCUUGCUAUGAUGUUUUCGAUGAUGGACUCACUGAGGCGAUAAUGAAGUUCCCUUUGCUUGAGGAGCUCGAGCUUUCAGUGUGUCCAAAUAUGGAUGACAGUGGUGUCUUUGGUGUUAUCGGUAAAGCAUGCCCACAGCUGAAACGCUUCAGACUGUGUAAGGAUGUGUUCUUUGAUUAUGAAGCCAGUGAGCAGGAAAAGGACGAGGAAGCCCUGGGGAUUGCGACUAUGCACGAGCUACGCUCUUUGCAGCUGUUUGGCAAUAGCCUCACCAACAAAGGGCUGACAGCCAUCCUGGACAAUUGCCGACACCUGGAGUCCCUUGACAUCCGCCACUGUUUCAACGUCACCAUGGACGAUGCCCUGCGUGCAAAGUGUGCCAGGAUAAGCACACUGAGGCUUCCGAAUGACUCAACCGAUGACUACGACUUCAUUGUGAAGAGCCCUAUUUGGAGGAAUUCAGAGUCCUUUCUGGGUGAUUAUGUGGGAUCUGAUUCUGACUACGAGCUUGGCUCGGAUGAUUACGACGACUACUGCGAUCCUUCCCGCUACCUUGAUGGUGUGUAUGAGGACGAGCUUAAUGAUGAAGCGAGGAUGCUUCUCAGGGGCAUGCGUAUGCUUAUGAAGUGA